AGGUGUUGUACAUCUCUUUCACCCGGCGGUAGCGGAAUGCUAAUUUCCUCAUCCAGUCAACUCCCCCGUGAACACCUGAGCCCAGACACAGAUUUGCACUGGCAGCCGAACUGUGAAAGCCAUCUGCGGAGAAGUUGUAUGUGCUGGGCAAGGGAGGACAGAAGGGGACAGCUGUGGACUAUCUGACCUGCAGUUUCCAGCCUGAAGAUCCCGUACCUUAGAUCUUGACCAUUGUCAUCUGAUGAUACAUCAUCUAUGUGGAUCUGGUCGCAGUCCUGAGAAGCGAAUGAAAAAAAAAUGUAUCAGAAUUUUUCAACAGAGGUAAAAGCACUUGGUGCAACAGGACCCCGAAGACAGAACAACUGCAGCUAACCAGGGUAGUUAUUCUUCACCACUUCAGUGUUCUGUAAACCACAGAAUGUCUUACCUUCUCUACAAAAUUACGAGUUUUACAAAUGACUCUAAAUUAGCCUCUUUAAAAAACAAACACCCCCUCAAAAGUAACCAAACUUUCUAUCAAAGGCAAAAUAUCACAGAUAGUUCUUAUCUGUAAUGAGAUUUUCUGCAGCAUUUAUUUUAGGUAAUUCUCAAAAAGAGCCAUGAUUUUAUCUUGUUCUCAUGUCAUUGGUCUGGUCUCUUAUCAACCUGUCACUGGGGUGUAUAUUUCUGUAUGUAGCUGGAGCCAAGUGGCUGAAUAACAGAUCUCUGCUGGCACCUCUCUCUCUCCUCUACCCCCAUUAUUUUUUAAGCCCCUCUCCCAAUAGCUGUUGUGAGCCAAGCUGGGAUAAUAUUGAUGCAGCCCACUCCACUUCAGUUGUAUGGUGCAGGGCAUUAAGUCAGGGGAAAGGUAUUUGUGGAGGGGUCUGUUUUUCUCAUUUGUGAAUGAAUUGUUCUGUACACUGAAGUGUGACAACAGUAGCUAUCACAUUUCUAACUUAAUAAAAUACCAUGACACUUGGUGAGACGCUACCUCAUAGUGCACCAGCUGAGCCUAUCAUGUUACUGGGUGAAACACAGGGAAGCUGGUUAAAGCCAGAAUAUGGACCAUGUUUUACUACUUGGUUAUGAGACCAAUUUUUCAUUCCUGCAGAAUCUCUUUGAAAUCUUAGUGAGUGGGGAAUCAAGGCAGGAUAUCUGGGCUGCUGAAAAGAAGGUGCAGAUUGUUCAAAUGGAAGUCUGCAAUGGGGACAUACCGCAGUUUUCACAUCUGCUGACUUUUAAAAAUGAUAGUCUACGAUCAAAAAGGUGUAUGACGUGUGGCACGUACACCCUGUGACUGAGUCAAACGUGUCAGACCUAAGUCAACCCUCACGACUCUGGGAACAGAACUGGUUUUACUGCUGUGAUAUCUCUAGGACAGUCAGUGUUACAGGACUUGCCUCCAGGGGGGACCAGGCCCUUGUACCCACAUGGAAGGAGCCUGAGCUAAUGCAGCUGUGAAAUGGUGCUGCAGGCCUGGAGAAAGCUGCUGCUGCCUCCUCGUGAGGCACAAGCUGUUCCUGAGAAUGCAUGGUUAUCGCUUCUGAUUAUCACUUAUGAUCCCUGUGAAUACUCUCAAGGUAUGUCUUGUGCACCUAAGAAAACAACUUACGAACGCAGAGGUUGUCUGUGUACCAGGACUGUGCUAGAGAUUUGUAAAAUCUCAUGGAUUCAUUGAUCAGUCGAGCUUGCAUCCCUCAUUAGGCGGGGGGUGAACAGUUCCCAGAACUCAAAAUCCCCAGGGAUGGCUCUGAAAGGCAGUAACUUGUAAACACACUAAUCCCCUUGUUUGUUAAUUCCUCAUUUCCCCUCGUCAGUCCCUCCUCUUUAAUACCUUUUUUGCAGAGUGCUACACAAAAAUAUCUCCAGAGGGACAGGGGGUGGAAGGUACUAUUCUGUAGCCAGCGUUGCACUGGGAACAAAAGGCAUGUGGAGGAAAAAGCACAACCUGCGUUCGUAUUUUAACUUCCUUGUGAUUUGUAUCCUUGGGCGACUCCUUUUCUCCCGAUUUCCCAAAAGGGGAACAGAGAGUGAGAACAACCGCCAAGCGGGGCAAUGCCUGUGUCCCGCACGCCCUGCAAGCGCAACACACUGGCUGCCCUUGUCAGUGUUUGGUGCCUCGAUGUUUUGCGAAAGGGCAGGCACAGCGCUAAGCUGGGCCUCAACAAGCACUGACCUCCCCCUGCCCCGAGUCAGCUGGAAAAAGAGUCCAGAUUCUCUCUCUGUUUUGCUAUGUUUAGCAUUUUCUACUACGAGCACUCUUGCUUUGGUCUCGCAUGGGGCAACUAUCCUACUGCUUUCUCAGCCACAGCUUCUUUCACCCUGCCCCACCACAGAAUAUAGUCAGAACUGGUUUCAGCCCUGUGUGGUUUUAGCUUAUUUUGUCUUGUACAGACCAGUGCUAUACCACAUGAUGGUGCUAAUGUAUAUGGUAAUGUUUGUGGAUAUAGAACUGAAUCAGCUUCUGGGCUUGUUUUUUUAUCAACGUCUUUUUUCAAUAUCGUACACUGCAUUUUUUUAAGCCUAACACUUGGUGAUGUAUGAUCCUUAAACAUCAAACCUGACUUUUAUUUAUCACCCCAAAUGAACGAGUAGGAUGGUUAAUGAACAGAGAUGGAUUACUCUGUUAUUGCAAAUUCUUCCAAACUGAAAUUGCUUUGUUUGGAAUGUGAAAUUCUAUAGAGAACAUUUACUUCUCUUGAAUUCUACCUCAUCCCUCACCUUUUUCAUUCAAAAGGCUUACUGAAAACCAAAACAACGCAGUUCUGGUUUUGUUUGACAAAAACUUUGUUUUGUUUCACUUAUCAAGCACAUGUGAAAAGGGAAAAACUGAAAAUUUUCAGUAGAAAAUGAUCUAUCUUUCCAGCUAUCUGGUCCACGCAUCAUCAUUUAGAACACCUAGUGGUUUUACCCGAGUGCUGAACCGAACAGAAUUGUUUCAUAAUGCUAUCUCCUUGCUAGUUGCUGCUCUGGCUAGCUGGAACACUGCUUGUUUUCAAAGGUUCUUCAUGUUUUUCAUGGGUUUCAGCCAUCCAGGUCCAGUAAUGAGUUGUUCUCACCUUUAGGUGCUUAUGUUGUCCUUUUUAGACCCUCUAACAAGGCCCUUCAUGCUACACUGACUCACUGAUUCAGCUGCCAACUUUGUGUUUCUCAGUUUUUUACUAAGAAGCAGGUAAGUUGGUAAGUUAGCCUACGGAAUCAGCAAAAAUUGCUUCUCUUGUCUCAUGCCACAACAAAAUAGCACUAGGAACAUCAGUUUUUCUGUAGCCAAACUACUGAAAGACAACCUCCGUGCACAUUUUUCUGAGCGGACACGUCCUGUAGCACCCGACUCUCUCUGUCUGGGAGAUGGAGCCCAGGUAUUUUGCAGGUGGUUCUGAUUUCUAUUUGGAGACACAGUGCUAAACUUCAGCUCCUCACUGGACCGGUUCUCACUGGGUUACAUAGUUCUGCUGGACAGUCCUCUAUCUGAGGGAUUUUUGUUUCGUUUUUGCUUCCUUAAUGUCAAGACGCCACAAAAGAAAAGAAAUACAACAUACUAACUUUGUAGAAUUAAAACCAUUGCUCUGCCUUUGUGGCUGAAGAACUUGAGAGGCCAUGUGAGACCAGACUGAGCCAAGGACUCAGCUUCUAGCAGCCAAAGCUGUUACUGACUGAUAAAUGUGCAGAAUUUGACUGAGGCCAGACAAUCUGAUACUUCAUUUCAUGUUUUACAGUGGUUAAGUGAAGCCAGGAGAAAACUUGCUUUAAAGGGAUUUGCCAAGCGAUAUUCUCGCAAAAGCCUCGACAGGCAGAGGGUUUCUGGAAGGUGGUUUUGUGCGGAGCAUGGAGCUUUGUUGCACCACAUGUUGAGAUCUGAUAGGGGAAAAGUGCUGGUUGCGUAUUAAAUAUCACCACUACUUAUACAGAGCCCCACACAGAGGUGCUCCUUUUUUAUCUUUUUUUCCCUUUGUACUUCCCUCACCCUCAUCACAAACUCCCUCUUCGAAACAGGUCAGUGCAGGUGUCACCCACUACUCAUCUUUGAAAGGAGACGAAAAUUGUCAGCAAGUGAAACCUCGGAUUGUAAGGAGACAGACGGCAGGAAAGGAUGUGCCUCCUGUAAUUCAGGGGACCACAGUGCAAUUAGCAGUGAAGGAACAAGAAAUUCUUGCUGAACUCAUCAGGCACUGAAAAAAGUUCUCUUAUUUCAUCUGGCACAGACACAAAUUCUUCCCUUUUCAAGCGAAGAAAACGCCCACAGAAGUCUGCCCCUGGACGCCUCCGAACACCUCCGAGCAGUACCCUGACUCUGGGGUGCUCACAGUACAAACCCACCUCACUCCCUUUGUGUGUGACUGCUGCUGCUGCUGAUAGCAGACACAAACAACCCUUCAUCAGCACAUCAGCACUGCACAGCUCUUUCGCAGCUGGUGACAGAAUUCUCCUAGCGUCACUUUGCUUGAAUUUUACCCUAUGUUCAAAAGGGGUUUCAUUUUAUAUAAGGCACAGUCUGAUCUAACCACGCCACAAUCAGGAAGGAUUUCUCCUCUCGCUCGUCGAUGUCGGAACUCCCGCGGCCUCAUCCGGCAGCGUGCCUGAGCUCGGGCAGACCUGCUCUGGCUCUGCGCGCAGCUUCCUCAAGAACAGAGACCAUCUCUAGAACCUCCGCAUGGGCUCUUAGCUAACUGCUACCAUACCAUACCCCAGAGGAUCUGUGCUAAUUUAGCUUAGUAAAAUUAUUAAAUAGCAAAUUUCAGGAGAAGCGGCAGCAAUGUCCUCAUUAUUAGAUUUAGUAAAACUGCCAAAAGCCAUCAUUGUUACUAUGCAUUUAGAAGAAAAUUCCUUAACAGGAUGAAGAUGUCAAAGGGACGCAGUAAAGUAUGCUUCCAAUAAGUCAUCUAAGGCCCAUUUCUUUGGGGUCAAAAAUGAAAGUUUCUUGGCCAGAAGAACAAGUUUGUAGACCAGAUGCAAAUGAUUAGAAAGAGAGUUUUUAAAUAAAAUAAGCAGCUACAUACCUCCAGGUCAUUAAAGAACAGAUGUGUAUCUGCAAGGUUGAAGAUCAUUUCUUCCAUCAUAAGGCCUAUCCGCACGGAUGUCGUAGUGUCCUGUUAGGGGGGAAAAACGGUUUUUUCCAUUCACUUUGAUCUUAUUUUUCUUUUUCUUUUCCUUUUCUUGGGAGGCGGGAGGCAGGGUGGAAGGUCUCAGAGCACGCAGAGGAUCUACACGUUCCUCUUUCUGAAGAUAUGCUUAUUAAUUUUAUUUCCCGAGUAUAUCUUAACAUGAUUUUUCCCAUCCUUUAAUUUGCUCUCCUAGAUAACCAAAAUCUGUUAUUCGAAGGAUGUCUGUGGCUCACCUUGACCUGUAAUAGCCCACACACUUCAGAUGAUAUAACAAGAAGCUUUAAGCAUGACCUAAGAAUUACUUCAGUAGGUUAGACCAAGAAUUGAUUUCACUGGUGUGAACAGUCAGGAGACAGGUAUGAUCGCCAGAGCGCACAGAGGCUGAUCCCGUCAGGAAUGGCUGUACCCAGUCACUUUGCCGUGUCUCUCAUACACAAGGUCAACCACCUUCCCAUCCCCAGACAACUGACCUUCUUCCUAAACCCGCAGCAAAAGCACAGAAACUCACUGAUGCAAACAAGGUCUCCAGCAGAACAUGUUCUUACUCAUUAAAUAAUCUGUGGUUAAUUUGAUAAACACCCAUAGCUCAAAACCAUUGUGCCCGUUCAAACUCAACAACAAAGGACAGCUUGGAAAAAAAGAAAAAGAAAAGAAAGAACAUUCCCACAACAGGCUUUUAUUUGUAAUUCAUCUUCAUUAAGACAGGGAUCUCUCAUCUGUAUGUGGGUGGUUUUCCUCCACUAAAGCUACAAGCCAUGCUAAACCAGGGCAGAUUUAUAUGUAGUCUUUGCUCUAAUUUUCUGCAGAUUUCUGUGGAAUCAUGUUAUUUUAUGACAGGACAGUAAUGAAUUAGUUGAGGAGCUCUUAACAAGGAGCACAAUGUUUGGAAGAUGAGUACAUUUCAAUCAACCUUUGCGGCAGAUGCUGUUGACAUGGAUGGUGUAUUACACGCUAACCUAAUUAUUACGCAUUCUUGGUGUAGUUCUCUUUAAUUAGAGCUGAAUGGCUAUGGUUUCAGCCAUGUGUGUGACUCACGAGCAUUGUGCCCAUCUAAGGAAAGCUGUGCCACUCGUGUUUGAACACGCUCCCAGAAAGAAGGGCACUUUCCCCUCUGGGCAAAAGGCAAACUUCAACAGGCUUGCCUUGAACAUGGCUCUAAUUUUAAGCCCCAAAGCUGCUCCCUGACAAGGCCCAGGGACACAGGCGUAAUCAGGGCAUCUGACUGUGGCCCCAUGCGAACAGCACUGAAUCAAAUUUUACUACCCAGGUGUAGUUGCACAGGGGAACUGUUUUGAAGAAAAUAUGCUGCUAGGAAGAAAUUAUUUUCUAAAAUAGUUUUUAAUGAAGCAAUUUAUUUUUAUACAUUUCAAGGAUCAUUAGCCUUUAAAACUCUUUCAGGAAAUCUCAUUGGUUGGUAUCUGUCAUUUAUCCUCUUAGUUUUGUCUUUAGUUUUAUUGGUAUUAAUCACUAAUGGGGACCAGGAAACAUUUCCACAGUGUAUGAAGUUACCUUCUCCUAUACUAAACACUAUGGAAAUUAAACUUUAGAUGAGAGAGGGAAAAAAAAUCAUUCUCUUGAGAUACAGAAUAUGAUGGAAUGAAAAUAAAACAGAAAAUGUACUUUACCACCCAGAGGGGAAGUCAUUUGGGGAAAUGAUUUGGCAUCGCUGCUUUCACAGUAUGGACAUUUCCUCUAUAGCAAGGCAUGCUUCCAAGUCUUAAAGAGGCUGAUAAAGUUAAAAGGCAAAUCAGCGCUCCCAGUGUGAUAUAGGUGUCUAGAGGCACUAGGCCAGGGUUCCACUGGCAGUUAUUUAUUUGCAUUACUGCAGCAUCUUGAAGCACUAGUCCCAGACUUGAACCCCACUGUGCUAGAGGUUCUACACACACAGAGGAAAGACAUCGCUACAGCUUUCAAUUCGAGUAUGAAUAAACAGGGGAAUUAGACUGACGGGAAAGCACCAAAACGAGAUAGGUAUAUCAGUCAACAUGUUGUCCAAAUUGUCUGUACAGUGUGUAAAUAAUCUGAAAGAGAAUUUUAAAAUUUAUCUGCAGAUGUUGAGGGAAACCUCGUACCAGUAAGGGCUGUCUCUGUGCUGCAGGGGGUGUCCUGGUGAACUGCUGAAGCCCGUGUUAGUGUGAGCUUAGCAGACCAAUGCAAAGUUGCUGCACUCAUACGGAUGAUCCCUGCUAACGUGUCCUUCCGUAGCAAAAGUGCACCCCGGAGCCCUGGGAACCAGCCAAUGUUUUCUGAUGCAUAUGAGCCCAAGGAAGAAUGGACCAGACAGCCUGAAAUCGAAUCUCCAGGAACCACUUUUUACAGUGAAAACAGAUUCAUCUGAAAACUCAACCCUGUGAGUGCUUGUUUAGUAACUUGAGAAAAGUGAGGUCCUACCCCUCUGCUAAUCUACAAGUCAUGCUUUCACAAACAAGGACAGUGAAAGGCAGGGGUAGAAAACAGGCAGUAAACUCCUUUUGUAAAUCAAACCUCCAGCACCACAGCGCACCCCGACGCGUCUCACCUCUGCCACGCACCACUGUUGGAGCUCCCUUAGGGACGAAAUCAAACAGCUCCACAAAUCAGUUUUGGUGCUUCCCUCUGCUGCCAGGACAUGACAGGCUCCUGCCCCUCCAACCCAGCGCUGCGACAGGCUUUGUCCCAUCACCAGGGGAAACAAGGACCAGGGGAGCAGUGGGCGUUCUGAAGCAUUCAUUCGCAAAAUCUUGAUAUGCCGCCUCCUCAAUAAAAGUUCACUCCCACUUCUAAUGAAGAAGAGUAGGAGCUCCACAGCUGCCUGUUUCUGCUCAGUGUGCAUCUUGAGGGAACUGAGAGGCAGAAGGUAGAAAGCCCCCAUUCCCCAUUACUCCUUCAUAAACAAUAAAGGAUCAAAACAUACAAACAGCAAGAUAGGCCCUUUUUUAAUGUUUUGGAUCAAACCUAUUUGCUCUAAAGAGCAUUCUCAGACAUGUCUCUCUGCAGUUUCUGUCACAGCUGUGACUUUCGGGCAAGGAAAGUUCCUGACAACAGCAGCACCUGUGAGUGAGAUGAUUUCCACCGUGAGGCACUGCCAGCUUCCGGCCCCGCAUCCGCCUGUCAGGGGGAGUCCUGCUGCCUGUUCAGCAGACAGUCCUACUGGAGGAAAAGACAGGCAACAGAAGCCUAAUCCUAAUCCUCGAACUGGUUCUGUACAUUUGAAGUGAAGUGCAGUUUAAAAUUACAGUUUGAGUUCAAUUAUGUCCUCCAAGCUAAUAACACCUUGCUUAAAAUUAAUUGGUUUGUUUUCAUUUUGUCCCCUCAUUUUGAGUAAUAGGAUGACAGAAGUUGGCUAAAAGGAGCUUGUUGAACAGCCUUCAGUCCACCUUUGCUUAAAGGUGUUUUUCACAAAAAACUGGAGGUGAGCAAAGAACAAAUAUUUCCCUAUUACAGCUGUGGGUUAAAGUAGGAAGUUGGGUCUGCCCACUGCAUGUGAAACUCCGACUAAUCUGUAUUUUAGCAAAGCAAAGGGAAUGCAGAAUGUGUAGGCAUACCCAAAUUAGCUUUAAGCUACCAAAUGUGGGUACAAAUAGCCGCAGGUGUGUUGCAGCAUGUGCUGUGUAAGUCCCUAGACCCUUUUACCGGAGCUGACCUACACAGACACUUGCAUUGCUGGAUCUUCACUACCGAAGCUACUGGCAUCACCCACACGAAAGCUCACGUGCGUUGCAGCCACAUUUCAAACUGCACCGUCAGCAUCCUCCCAAAUGGCUCUGUAUGAAAUCCUUCUUACCACCAGUCUCCUGAAGCAUGGAGACUGACUCUUCAUAAACUGCUUAUACUUGCCCUAGCAUCUGCAUUAAGAAGACAUGUAUUCGUUAACACCUGCAGUUACUACUAAUCCAGUUGGCUGGGUGUCCACAGCCAGCUCACCGUGCUCGUACGCUGUGAUUUUGCAAAGAAGAGAGAAGCAGAGUUAUCUCUGGCAAUCUCUCAGGUGCAAGUCACUCUCGCCUCCGAUCCUGGCUCCAAAGCCCAUUCCAAGCCGCUGCCUUCAGGUACCCUGUUCAGACUUGCAGGCCAUUAGCAAAGGGGCGA